AGGCCUGCGGAGGUCUCCCCUAAGCCCUCCCCACCCCUCUCCCAGUGUUUCUGGGGACGGUGCUCCAGGCAGCCACUGCCCGUCAAUGGCCGCUUCCCUGCAUUUAACCCCAUCUGCUCGCUGUCCUUGGGGAAGUGAUGCUGCGAUGCCAGUCCUCACCCGGGGGCUCAGUGGCCUAGCAGAACUGGCUGCUGUUCCCUGAGUCAGAGCCCGGAGCUUGUUGCACGACAGCAAGUUACGGGGACCUGCUUACAGAAAGAAUACUGGAAGUGCUCGAGAUGGGAGCUCCUAGAACCUCAGUCUCCCGGCUCUGAAGGGGCUGGCUGACCUCCAGGCGCCCCCCCAGCUCUGCCGGCCGUGACCACUACCCGCAGGGCCGGCCCAGGGGAGUCGGUGCUGGGAGGGGUCCGGCCAGUCCCCCUGCUCCCCACAUGGUGUCCCCUGCCUGGGGGCACAGCGCAUCCCGGGCCUCUGCUGCUGGGCUCCACCCCGGCUCUCUGGGUCCCUUUCUUUCCUCUGUCCCUUCCCGGGACCCCCAGCUCCAGCCUGGGGUCGGGGCCUCUCAGGGAAGAAUGCAGCCUGCGCAGCUUUCAGAGACACUCUGGACCCGCUGAGCUGGGCCUGGGGGCCCCGGGCGAGAGGAUGGGGCCUCCAGCAUUGCCACCAGAAUCUCUUGCAGGGCUGUCUGCCUGCAUGGACCAGGCCUGGCGGAAAUCGCAGGAGUAAAUAACAGGAAGGAUCCACGAGCAUCGUGGUCAGCAUCGAAGUUGCAGUGGAGAGGGGAAAGACAGGAGAGCCUGGCGGGGUGUCUCUGGCUGUGAUGGGCCUGACGGCGUCAGGAAGGAGCCGCUCACUGACGCCUGCUGGGCAGCCCUGCACGGCCAGGGCCCUGGCACAUCCCAUGAGGCUGUUGGGGGCUGAGUUCAGCAGCGAAGGCUCCCGGGAGGGAGGAAAGCUUGACAAGGGCCUCGCAGCAGCAACAGGAGGAGCAGAAGCUGAGUGAGGACCCGAGCUAACUGAUCUGGGCCCUGGACGGUUAAAAUUCUCCUCCGCUUCCUCCGCCAAAAGUGACCUUAUCAUGGCCAAACAGAAGAGGAAAUUGGAUGCGACCGCAUCUUACGCAUCUUACGUAAAUGUCUUUGAGUUGUUACAUCCUGAGUGCAAACGAGAGAAGAUUCCAGCUACUUCAAAAAUCUGAACUUGAAGGGCCAAUCUGUGGCCAUACGGUCAGAACUGAAACAGGCAAAUGUGCUCACAUGGCCGACCUGUGUCAGCAUAGACCGAGGAAUCAAGGAAUGUGUACGUCCAUAGUAUCCAGACAUCGGGCUUGGAGCUGGGGACACAAGCCCUUGUUUUUUUCUAAGCCGGUGACAGAGAGCCUGGAACGGUUCAGGGGGCCGUCCCUGGACACCAGCAAGAGCCAACAGCCCAGGAGAAAUUUCCUGCCCCAAGCAACCCGGCUGGUAGCGGCCCAGGGCCGUUAACCCCGUUUCCCCCCCG
rnacentral:lncRNA from 1 species